CUCUGAUUCGAAAGUUUCAGGGCGGAAGGAG
rnacentral:ncRNA from 1 species